rnacentral:sRNA from 1 species
CCCUAGCCCGGACAGGAACGGCAUCCUUUGUCUCCCUUCUUUAGGGAGGCAAAGAUAUAGUGGAUGGCCGGAUUAGCU